GACGAACGCUGGCGGCGUGCUUAACACAUGCAAGUCAAACGAUGAAGCUGGAGCUUGCUCCGGUGGAUUAGUGGCGAACGGGUGAGUAACACGUGAGCAAUCUGCCCUUCACUCUGGAAUAACUGCGGGAAACUGUAGCUAAUACCGGAUACGAGACCUUGGGGCAUCCCAGGGUCUGGAAAGAAUUUCGGUGAAGGAUGAGCUCGCGGCCUAUCAGCUAGCUGGUGAGGUAAUGGCUCACCAAGGCGACGACGGGUAGCCGGCCUGAGAGGGUGACCGGCCACACUGGGACUGAGACACGACCCAGACUCCUACGGGAGGCAGCAGUGGGGAAUAUUGCACAAUGGGCGAAAGCCUGAUGCAGCAACGCCGCGUGAGGGAUGAAGGCCUUCGGGUUGUAAACCUCUUUUAGUAGGGAAGAAGCGCAAGUGACGGUACCUACAGAAAAAGCACCGGCUAACUACGUGCCAGCCGCCGCCGUAA
rnacentral:rRNA from 1 species